rnacentral:rRNA from 1 species
CCUUGCCGAAAGGCGUAGCCGAUGGAAAACAGGUCAACAUUCCUGUGCCCGGUGUGAUUGCGAUGGGGUGACGGAGAAGGCUAGUUCAGCAGGGGUUGGUUCCCUGUUUAAGCAUGUAGGAGGAGUUGCCAGGCAAAUCCGGCAGCUCUUAACUCCGAGGUGUGAUGAUGAGGCUCCACGCGAGCCGAAGUGAAUAACGCCCCGCUUCCAGGAAAAGCCUCUAAGCUUCAGAUCACAUUGGACCGUACCGUAAACCGACACUGGUGGGUGAGCAGAUAAUCUGCCAAGGCGCUUGAGAGAACUCGGGUUAAGGAACUCUGCAAAUUGAUACCGUAACUUCGGAAGAAGGUAUGCCUUCGACGGUGUAGGGAUUUACUCCCGAAGCUGUUGAAGGUCGCAGGUAAUCGGUGGCUGCGACUGUUUAUCGAAAACACAGGACUCUGCGAACACGCAAGUGGAAGUAUAGGGUCUGACGCCUGCCCGGUGCCGGAAGGUUAAUUGAUGGGGUUAGCCGCAAGGCGAAGCUCUUGAUCGAAGCCCCGGUAAACGGCGGCCGUAACCAUAACGGUCCUAAGGUAGCGAAAUUCCUUGUCGGGUAAGUUCCGACCUGCACGAAUGGCGUAACGCUGGCCACACUGUCUCGACCCGAGACUCAGUGAAGUUGAAAUCGCUGUGAAGAUGCGGCGUUCCCGCGGCAAGACGGAAAGACCCCGUGAACCUUCACUACAGCUUUACACUGAACUUUGAACCUUUCUGUGUAGGAUAGGUGGGAGGCUAUGAAACUUGGGCGCUAGCUCGAGUGGAGCCAACCUUGAAAUACCACCCUGGGAUGUUUGAAGUUCUAACCUUGGUCCGUAAUCCGGAUUGGGGACAGUGUAUGGCGUAGUUUGACUGGGGCGGUCUCCUCCCAAAGAGUAACGGAGGAGUGCAAUGGUACGCUCAGCGCGGUCGGUCAUCGCGCUCUAGAGUGCAAAGGCAUAAGCGUGCUUAACUGUGAGACAGACACGUCGAACAGGUACGAAAGUAGGUCUUAGUGAUCCGGUGGUUCUGUAUGGAAGGGCCAUCGCUCAACGGAUAAAAGGUACUCCGGGGAUAACAGGCUUAUUCCUCCCAAGAGUCCACAUCGACGGAGGAGUUUGGCACCUCGAUGUCGGCUCAUCACAUCCUGGGGCUGUAGCAGGUCCCAAGGGUAUGGCUGUUCGCCAUUUAAAGUGGUACGCGAGCUGGGUUCAGAACGUCGUGAGACAGUUCGGUCCCUAUCUGCCGUGGGCGUUGGAAACUUGAGGGUGAGCUGUCCUUAGUACGAGAGGACCGGGAUGGACGUAUCUCUGGUGUUCCGGUUGUCACGCCAGUGGCACUGCCGGGUAGCUAUAUACGGACGGGAUAAGCGCUGAAAGCAUCUAAGCGCGAAGCCCCCCCCAAGAUUAGGUUUCCCUGGGAACUCGAUUCCCCUAAAGGGCCGUCGGAGACUACGACGUUGAUAGGCUGGGUGUGUAAGUGCAGCAAUGCAUUGAGCUAACCAGUACUAAUUGCCCGUGAGGCUUGACCAU